GCGUGUAUUCUAGCAUCUUCGACGCCUCGAAUUGGGCAACACGCGGUGGCCUCGACAAGAUCGACUUCAACAAUGCCCCAUUCCAUGCCCACUACGCCAACUUCACCAUGGACUCCUGCGUGGUCAAUGAGACGGUGACCACCUCGGUCGCCGAUCCUUGUGUAGCUCCCACCUCAAGUAAGCUACCAUCCGCCCCUCUCCUCCCCUCCUCAUCGCUUGCGAUCAACUUUAGCUUGCUGCAGCAACUGCAAACCCCACCUCAAUGAUCUCUCACGCGUUCUCUGUCUCUUCCCAUUGCAGCCGAGUGGUGGAACGCGGAGUGGUUUCAAUCCAUACCCGCCAACCGCGUCGGCCAGAUGCAAUGGGUGAAUCACAACUUCAUGGUUUACGAUUACUGCACCGACAAAGAGCGGUUUCCCGUUGCUCCCUUCGAGUGUGCGGCGCCGAUCGUGUAGACCCAAUUGCAGGUACAUGCUUUUCUAUGAUUUGUACUCCACCACGUCCUUACGCAUCGUACUAAGAAUCGUUUUGGGUCGACGAGAUGGACAUCGGCCUCCCGAUCGAGAUUGCCUAGGCGAUUCCGUUGCGGUGGCGGUGGCGGUGCGGAGACACACUCUAAAUUGAUUUUAGGAUAUAAUUGUUUGA
rnacentral:lncRNA from 1 species